UACAGAGGGGGCAAGCGUUGUUCGGAAUUACUGGGCGUAAAGGGCGCGUAGGCGGCCUGUUAAGUCGAACGUGAAAUCCCCCGGGCUCAACCCGGGAACUGCGUCCGAUACUGGCAGGCUUGAAUCCGGGAGAGGGAUGUGGAAUUCCAGGUGUAGCGGUGAAAUUCGUAGAUAUUGGGAAGAACACCGGUGGCGAAGGCGGCUCACUGGCUCGUAACUGACGCUCAUGCACGACAGCGUGGGGAUCAAACAGG
rnacentral:rRNA from 1 species